rnacentral:rRNA from 1 species
UACGUAGGUGGCAAGCGUUUGUCCGGAAUUACUGGGCGUAAAGGGCGCGUAGGCGGCACUGUUAGUCAGGCGUGAAAUUCCUGGGCUCAACCUGGGGACUGCGCUUGAUACGGCAGAGCUUGAGGAUGGAAGAGGGUCGCGGAAUUCCCAGUGUAGAGGUGAAAUUCGUAGAUAUUGGGAAGAACACCGGUGGCGAAGGCGGCGACCUGGUCCAUUACUGACGCUGAGGCGCGACAGCGUGGGGAGCAAACAGG